CAGCCGGAGCAGCGACGGCGGCGGUUGCGGCCGCCCCCUGGCGGGCGCCGGUGGCUGCAGCCGGGCCCGUGAGGGCUGGGCUGGGCUGGGCUGGGCUCCCGCUCCCUCCGUCCGCGGCGGGAGAAGGGCAGGCCCUCAGCCAAAGCUCAAGCGGGGCGGCCCGGACAUCGGCGAGUCCCCGAGCGAGCGGUACAGUGGUUUACCAAAUCCAAGUUUUGAUCAUCUGCAGAGCCUGUUGACACACCAGAAUUUCACAAACUUUACAGAGUUAUCCCUGUCAGCAACAUCCAUCUGUUGAACAUUACUUGGGCACUGUCCCCACAAGAGAAAAAUUACAGGGGAGUGAAUUGCAUUAUCUGUCUCAAAAUGAAGUGUCAGUAGAAGACAGCGACCGAGUAUUGGCAUUCUUAUUGUUUCAUUGACCUUUGACUUCUCAACAUGAAGCUGCUCCAAGAACUGAAAGCCUUUCUAAACAACAACUCACUCUAUUUCCACAUUUUUUUUUUAAAAUAAUCCCCCCUUGAUUUCUAGUAGAGAUCUAACUAAGAAAAUAUGAGGGCAUCUCAGGAGUGAAAGCAUCUGGGAGGAAGGAACCAGUUUGGGGAUUGCAAGACUGGUAGUAGUUAAACAAAACCAAACCAACAAAGUCAGAAACCCCAACCCAAAACCUUGCAACCCUUCAGUCUCCUCAAACCUUCACACUUUUUUCAUCUUAUUGAGAAGCUUUUUGGUGUAGCAUUUAUAUACUGUAAAAGGAUUUUUUGUUAUUGUUUUAGAGGUCUUUUUAUUGCUUUUGACGUAGAGGGGUAAUACUAACACCUAUAAAGAUAAUGGAAACAGAUAAAGACAUCUGUAGGAGACGAAACAAAGAUUGAGAGAAGCAGCUUGAGGGAAGCAUCAACAAUGGGGAGAGACAAAACUUGGUAAAGAGAAGGGGGGAGGGGGGCAGAGGCCCUCCGAGCCUUUCCAAGAAACGUCUCAAACACUGGCAAGUACCCUGAAACGAAACCAUAGUCACGGGCUGGAUAAUGUGGAGUCUGGAUAAUGCAGGCCUUGUGCUCAGUGAACUGAUAAGGCUGACACUUGACCCA
rnacentral:lncRNA from 1 species